CCCUUAGAUGUUCUGGGCUGCACGCGCGCUACACUGAAGCUAUCAACACGUUUUCCCUCCCUGAGAAGGGCGGGUAACCUUUUGAAUCAGCUUCGUGGUAGGGAUCGGGGCUUGCAAUUGUUCCCCGUGAACCAGGAAUUCCUAGUAGACGCGAGUCAUAAGCUCGCAUCGAUUAAGUCCCUGCCCUUUGUACACACCGCCCGUCGCUACUACCGAUUGAACGUUUUAGUGAGGCAUUUGGACCGACGCCUCUCAGUUUAACCGCUGGUUUGUGUUGGAAAGACUUCCAAACUUGAGCGUUUAGAGGAAGUAAAAGUCGUAACA
rnacentral:rRNA from 1 species